GAGCAUGUGGUUUAAUUCGAUGUAAAGUGAAGAACCUUACCAAGGCUUAGCAUGCCGCGAAUCCUCUUGAAAGAGAGGGGUGCCUUCGGGAACGCGGACACAGGUGGUGCAUGGCUGUCGUCGCUCAUGCCGUAAGGUGUUGGGUUAAGUCCCGCAACGAGUGCAACCCUCAUGUUUAGUUGCCAACAUUUAGUUUGGAACCCAUGGCCGGUGAAAAGCCGGAUUGAAAUUAAUCAUUCUCAUUCUCACAUAAGAUAUGUAUUCUC
rfam:Glycine max cultivar Williams 82 chromosome 18, whole genome shotgun sequence.